AUUGAACGCUGUCGGCAGGCCUAACACAUGCAAGUCGAACGGAUCGGCGGACGCGUGAGUAAUGCCUAGGAAUCUGCCUGUUAGUGGGGGAUAACGUCCGUAAACGGUCGCUAAUACCGCAUACUAUCAGAUUAGCCUAGGUCGGAUUAGCUAGUUGGUGUGGUAAAGGCCUACCAAGGCGACGAUCCGUAACUGGUCUGAGAGGAUGAUCAGGCACACGGGAACUGAGACACGGUCCAUACUCCGACGUGAGUCAGCAGUGGGGAAUAUUGGACAAGGGGCGAAAGCCUGAUCCAGCCAUGCCGCGUGUGUGAAGAAGGUCUUCGGAUUGUAGAGCACUUUAAGUUGGGAGGCGUUACCAGCAGAAGAAGCACCGGCUAACUUCGUGCCAGCAGCCGCGGUAAUUC
rnacentral:rRNA from 1 species